CGCCAAUCAGAUUCAAGCCACACCCACCAGCUUUGCUACUUAGCAUGAACACAAAGUCACUACCCUAAAGCAAGAAAUGACGAGGUAGAUGGACCUAUAAUCAGACGAGCUUACAUACAUAAGUGGCAGGGCUUAUGAGCAACUGUUUGUCUAAUGUCAUGGUCUAUCUGAACCAGGACUGAGGUUACCAGCCCCUGGUCAGAUUAUGUAUCCCCAAGCUCCUCCUCAAACAGAGGAUCAAAGACCAGAAGUGAGAAAACAGGGGAAAGCAAUCCAACAGAGAGGAUAGAGGUAGAGGUAACCAAACCACAGGUGGUGGACGGAAAGGACCUCGACCAAACGUUUAUUGGUACAAGGAACUGCUGGUUUUUGAAUGAAUGUUAAGUCUGCCGUCUUUGUGGAGGUACAGUCACAUAGUUUUUGUCUUUCUUUGUUUUGUUACGUUUUUUGUUACGGGACAGUUCGUCCACCUUGAGUAAUCUAGCCUAAAGUUUUUAAGAUCAUUUUGUUCAACAAGUGGAAAUCUUGUUCAUUCUCAGCAAUCCUUGUUUGGUACUAUUCCAUCGCCGGGAUUGACAAAAAAAAAUUGUUUUUCCUUUCAUUUUUAAUAAAUACAUUUUAAUUCCAGGCAGAAAGAUUAUAAGGAAAGAAAAUAUCAGUAAGAAGAUAUUAAUUGAUUUAACAUAAAAUUCUAAGGGCCAACUUGCAAGAAAUCUAUGAUAUCUUGGGAUUGAAAGGGUACUGAGGUACAAUUCUCUCUGACAUCGUGACUACGUAAAAAACUAAAAAUGAGUCGAAAUUCCGUAACAAAGUCCUUUACGAAUGAAACAGCCCCUACUGGGUAGCAUGACAAAAUGGUAGAGUUACAUUUGCUAUACCUCAGAUGAUUUGGGUAUAGUUCAUUUUCAAUAAUGUUUUAUUUCAACUGCACCACUCAGUCUAUCAAUCCUCCACAUUGUCGGAAACACAUUUCGAAUAGUUUUGGAUCUGAGAAGUGUCACCUUUCUUCCUGAAAGAACAUAGAUAUUGGAAGGGGAAUUCAGUUUUGGACACUCCUAGAAGAGAAACACACAUCGUUUUCAGUAUUCGUGGAGUUCUGUGGCGUGAAGCGGCUGGGACUGUUGCUACGUAGUUCCG